rnacentral:rRNA from 1 species
ACUCCUACGGGAGGCAGCAGUUAGGAAUAUUCGGCAAUGGGGGAAACCCUGACCGAGCGACACUGCGUGAAGGAGGAAGGCCUUAGGGUUGUAAACUUCUGAACGAGAGACGAUAAUGACGGUAUCUCGGUAAUAGCACCGGCUAACUCCGUGCCAGCAGCCGCGGUAAUACGGAGGGUGCGAGCGUUAUCCGGAAUCACUGGGCGUAAAGGGCGCGUAGGCGGUUACAUAAGUCCGAUGUUAAAGCGUAGGGCUCAACCCUAUAAAGGCGUUGGAUACUGUGAAACUAGACUUCUGGAGAGGUAAGUGGAAUUACCAGAGUAGCGGUGAAAUGCGUAGAUACUGGUAGGAACACCCAUAGCGAAGGCAGCUUACUGGACAGAGAGUGACGCUGAGGCGCGAAAGUGUGGGGAGCAAACCGGAUUAGAUACCCUGGUAGGCUCUG